GGGCGCGCGCGCGGCGCGGUGGGCCCCGCAGCCAAUGGGGGCGGGGGGCGGCCCGGUGCGGGGGUAAAAGGGGGCGGGCUCCCAAUCCGGUUCCAUCCGGUUCUCCCACCGCCCCCGCCGUGGGUUCCAGCAGCUCUGGCGGCGGGAGGAACGGCAGCGGUCGAGCUGCGUAUCUCCGCGAGGCUCCCGUGCGCCUCGACCCGCAGCCUCCGCACGCGCCCCGCGCGCCGCCAAGAUGCCCAAGAGGAAGGUCAGCUCGGCCGAAGGGGCGGCGAAGGAGGAGCCCAAGAGGAGAUCGGCGAGAUUGUCGGCUAAACCUGUUCCAGCUAAAGUGGAAACGAAGCCAAAAAAGGCAGCCGGAAAGGAUAAAUCUUCGGACAAAAAAGUGCAAGCAA